GUGACAGGUGACUGGGCCUCUGG
rnacentral:piRNA from 1 species